rnacentral:rRNA from 1 species
AGGACGAACGCUGGCGGCGCGCUUAACACAUGCAAGUCGAGCGAGAACCAUUCCUUCGGGAAUGGGGACAGCGGCGAACGGGUGAGUAACACGUGGGUAAUCUGCCCUCGAUUCCGGGAUAGCCCGGGGAAACCCGGAUUAAUACCGGAUAGCCUCUCGAGCUUUCGAGCUCUUGAGAAAGGUAGCUUCGGCCUCCGAUCGAGGAUGAGCCCGCGGCGGUAUUAGCUUGGUUGGUGGGUAAUCGGCCUACCAAGGCAACGAUCCGUAGCUGGUCUGAGAGGACGAUCAGCCACACGUGGGACUGACGACCACCGGCCCAGACCUCCGUACGGGGAGCCAGCAGGUGGGAAUCUGCGACGAAGU